AAGUUGGGGGGAGGGGGGCAGUGUGAUGAAGAGGAGAUCCAGAGAAAGGCCUGUUGUAGCUCACACGUCAAGGUCUAAAAUGGCAAAUCCUCCCUCCACCAUCCAGCCCCCACCAGCCACGGUCACAGGUGGGGGUCAGACACCUUCCGGGAAUGUGUGCAGUUCCGCCUUCGGCGUGGAAGUCAGGAACCCUCAGCUCCUCCCUCCCAUGAAACAGAGCAUGACCCAGAGAAGAAAGUUUUCCAUUUCCUACCCUCACGCUCCAGUGGCCCAGGAGUACUCACCAUUUUACUGUCAGGUGAGAGGAGACUGUGGCCUGGGUCCAGGCUGGCUGGGGAGACUUG